GACGAACGCUGGCGGCGUGCCUAAUACAUGCAAGUAGAACGCUGAAGGAGGAUCUUGCUUCUCUGGAUGAGUUGCGAACGGGUGAGUAACGCGUAGGUAACCUGCCUGGUAGCGGGGGAUAACUCUUGGAAACGAUAGCUAAUACCUCAUAAUAGCAGUUAUUGCAUGAUAACUGUUUGAAAGGUGCAAUUGCACCACUACCAGAUGGACCUGCGUUGUAUUAGCUAGUUGGUGGGGUAACGGCUCACCAAUGCGACGAUACAGAGCCGAGCUGCGAAGGUGAACGGGCACAAUGGGAAUGAGACAAGGCCCAGACUUCUAAGGGAAGCAGCAGUAGGGAAACUUCGGCAAUGGACGGAAGUCUGACCGAGCAACGCCGCGUGAGUGAAGAAGGUUUUCGGAUCGUAAAGCUCUGUUGUAAGAGAAGAAAGAGGGUGAGAGUGGAAAGUUCACACUGUGACGGUAUCUUACCAGAAAGGGACGGCUAACUACGUG
rnacentral:rRNA from 1 species